GGAGUCCAGCGUGUGCGCGAGUCAUUGGGCGAAAUGAACCCUAAAGGCGAAAUGAAAGUAAAGGCGCGCUGAGCGUGCGCAUAGGGAAGAUGGGCGUAGAGCUUUAAUGUAAUCGCGCCCCGCACUCCCAGGGCGUCCCUUUUUCAUUACGAAAAUGGGCGCACCUAGAGCGUACACGCUGGGACCCGAAAGAUGGUGAACUAUGCCCGGUGAGGACGAAGUCAGGGGAAACCCUGAUGGAGGUCCGUAGCGAUUCUGACGUGCAAAUCGAUCGUCGGAACUGGGUAUAGGGGCGAAAGACUAAUCGAACCAUCUAGUAGCUGGUUCCCUCCGAAGUUUCCCUCAGGAUAGCUGGCGCUCAUAAAGUGAGUUUCAUCCGGUAAAGCGAAUGAUUAGAGGCCUUGGGGACGAAACGUCUUCAACCUAUUCUCAAACUUUAAAUGGGUGAGAACUUCGGCUUUCUUACAAAUCAAUGCGUUAGCACGCGCUCCGAGUUUGCCCGUUCGCGCGGGUAUUACGCGGUCGCGUAGCGUGCGCGCGUUAUUUGAAGCCGCAAGAUAAAAUUUAUAAUACGAAUCGGAGUGCCAAGUGGGCCAUUUUUGGUAAGCAGAACUGGCGAUGUGGGAUGAACCGAACGCAAGGUUAAAGCGCCUAAGUGGACGCUUAUUAGACACCAUGAAAGGCGUUGGUAACUUAAGACAGCAGGACGGUGGCCAUGGAA
rnacentral:rRNA from 1 species